rnacentral:rRNA from 1 species
UAAGGCAGUGGUAGUGCUGAAGAAUAUUCGUGCAAUUGUCGUUAUUCAUUAUAAAAGGGCGGGUUUUAAAGGAUAUUUUAAAAUUUAAAACAAGCUUUUAAGAGCAGAUGGCGGAUGCCUUGCCAAAGAGAGGCGAUGAAGGACGUACUAGACUGCGAUAAGCUAUGCGGAGCUGUCAAGGAGCUUUGAUGCGUAGAUGUCCGAAUGGGGCAACCCAACUAAUAGAGAUAUUAGUUACUCUAAUUUAGAGAGCGAACCUAGUGAAGUGAAACAUCUCAGUAACUAGAGGAAAAGAAAUCAACGAGAUUCCCUAAGUAGUGGCGAGCGAACGGGGAAAAGGGCAAACCGAGUGCUUGCAUUCGGGGUUGAGGACUGCAACAUCCAAGAGAACGCUUUAGCAGAGUUACCUGGAAAGGUAAGCCAUAGAAAGUGAUAGCCUUGUAUGCGACAAGGCGUUAUUAGGUAGCAGGAUCCAGAGUAGGCCAGGACACGAGAAAUCCAGGUUGAAGCCGGGGAGACCACUCUCCAACCCUAAAUACUACUCUUUGAGCGAUAGCGAACAAGUACCGUGAGGGAAAGGUGAAAAGAACCGCAGUGAGCGGAGUGAAAUAGAACCUGAAACCAUCUGCUUACAAUCAUUCAGAGCCCUAUGAUUUAUCAGGGUGAUGGACUGCCUUUUGCAUAAUGAUCCUGCGAGUUGUGGUAUCUGGCAAGGUUAAGCGGAUGCGAAGCCGUAGCGAAAGCGAGUCUUAAUAGGGCGAUUUAAGUCAGAUGCUGCAGACCCGAAGCUAAGUGAUCUAUCCAUGGCCAAGUUGAAACGCGUGUAAUAGCGCGUGGAGGACUGAACUCGUACCCAUUGAAACGGGUUGGGAUGAGCUGUGGAUAGGGGUGAAAGGCCAAACAAACUUAGUGAUAGCUGGUUCUCUUCGAAAUAUAUUUAGGUAUAGCCUCAAGUGAUAAUAAAAGGGGGUAGAGCUCUGAUUGGGCUAGGGCUGCUCGCCGCGGUACCAAACCCUAUCAAACUUCAAAUACCUUUUAUCGUAUCUUGGGAGUCAGGCGGUGGGUGAUAAAAUCAAUCGUCAAAAGGGGAACAACCCAGACUACCAAAUAAGGUCCCUAAGUUCUAUUCUGAGUGGAAAAAGAUGUGUGGCUACUCAAACAACCAGGAGGUUGGCUUAGAAGCAGCCAUCCUUUAAAGAAAGCGUAACAGCUCACUGGUCUAGUGGUCAUGCGCUGAAAAUAUAACGGGGCUAAGAUAGACACCGAAUUUGUAGAUUGUGUUAAACACAGUGGUAGAAGAGCGUUCAUACCAGCGUUGAAGGUAUACCGGUAAGGAGUGCUGGAGCGGUAUGAAGUGAGCAUGCAGGAAUGAGUAACGAUAAGAUAUAUGAGAAUUGUAUCCGCCGUAAAUCUAAGGUUUCCUACGCGAUGGUCGUCAUCGUAGGGUUAGUCGGGUCCUAAGCCGAGUCCGAAAGGGGUAGGUGAUGGCAAAUUGGUUAAUAUUCCAAUACCGACUGUGGAGCGUGAUGGGGGGACGCAUAGGGUUAAGCGAGCUAGCUGAUGGAAGCGCUAGUCUAAGGGCGUAGAUUGGAGGGAAGGCAAAUCCACCUCUGUAUUUGAAACCCAAACAGGCUCUUUGAGUCCUUUAUAGGACAAAGGGAGAAUCGCUGAUACCGUCGUGCCAAGAAAAGCCUCUAAGCAUAUCCAUAGUCGUCCGUACCGCAAACCGACACAGGUAGAUGAGAUGAGUAUUCUAAGGCGCGUGAAAGAACUCUGGUUAAGGAACUCUGCAAACUAGCACCGUAAGUUCGCGAUAAGGUGUGCCGCAGCAAUGCGGUCUCAGCAAAGAGUCCCUCCCGACUGUUUACCAAAAACACAGCACUUUGCCAACUCGUAAGAGGAAGUAUAAGGUGUGACGCCUGCCCGGUGCUCGAAGGUUAAGAGGAUGCGUCAGUCGCAAGAUGAAGCGUUGAAUUGAAGCCCGAGUAAACGGCGGCCGUAACUAUAACGGUCCUAAGGUAGCGAAAUUCCUUGUCGGUUAAAUACCGACCUGCAUGAAUGGCGUAACGAGAUGGGAGCUGUCUCAACCAGAGAUUCAGUGAAAUUGUAGUGGAGGUGAAAAUUCCUCCUACCCGCGGCAAGACGGAAAGACCCCGUGGACCUUUACUACAACUUAGCACUGCUAACGGGAAUAUCAUGCGCAGGAUAGGUGGGAGGCUUUGAAGUAAGGGCUUUGGCUCUUAUGGAGCCAUCCUUGAGAUACCACCCUUGAUGUUUCUGUUAGCUAACUGGCCUGUGUCAUCCACAGGCAGGACAAUGCUUGGUGGGUAGUUUGACUGGGGCGGUCGCCUCCUAAAAAGUAACGGAGGCUUGCAAAGGUUGGCUCAUUGCGGUUGGAAAUCGCAAGUUGAGUGUAAUGGCACAAGCCAGCCUGACUGUAAGACAUACAAGUCAAGCAGAGACGAAAGUCGGUCAUAGUGAUCCGGUGGUUCUGUGUGGAAGGGCCAUCGCUCAAAGGAUAAAAGGUACCCCGGGGAUAACAGGCUGAUCUCCCCCAAGAGCUCACAUCGACGGGGAGGUUUGGCACCUCGAUGUCGGCUCAUCGCAUCCUGGGGCUGGAGCAGGUCCCAAGGGUAUGGCUGUUCGCCAUUUAAAGCGGUACGCGAGCUGGGUUCAGAACGUCGUGAGACAGUUCGGUCCCUAUCUGCCGUGGGCGUAGGAAAGUUGAGGAGAGCUGUCCCUAGUACGAGAGGACCGGGAUGGACGUGUCACUGGUGCACCAGUUGUUCUGCCAAGAGCAUCGCUGGGUAGCUACACACGGAUGUGAUAACUGCUGAAAGCAUCUAAGCAGGAAGCCAACUCCAAGAUAAACUUUCCCUGAAGCUCGCACAAAGACUAUGUGCUUGAUAGGGUAGAUGUGUAAGCGCAGCAAUGCGUUUAGCUGACUACUACUAAUAGAGCGUUUGGCUUGUUUUU